rnacentral:rRNA from 1 species
GAUGAACGCUGGCGGCGUGCUUAACACAUGCAAGUCGAGCGAGAAGUUUUGAAAAGAUUCUUCGGAUGAAAUUUAAAAUGGAAAGCGGCGGACGGGUGAGUAACGCGUAGGCAACCUGCCCCAUACAAAGGGAUAGCAUUUGGAAACGAAUAUUAAUACCUUAUGAAACUUAACUAGUGCAUGCUAGGUAGGUCAAAGAUUUAUCGGUAUGGGAUGGGCCUGCGUCUGAUUAGCUAGUUGGUGAGGUAACGGCUCACCAAGGCGACGAUCAGUAGCCGACGUGGGAGGGUGAACGGCCACAUUGGAACUGAGACACGGUCCAAACUCCUACGGGAGGCAGCAGUGGGGAAUAUUGCACAAUGGAGGAAACCCUGAUGCAGCAACGCCGCGUGAACGAUGAAGGCCUGUGGGUCGUAAAGUUCUGUUCUAGGUGAUGAAAACUGACAGUAACCUAGGAGAAAGCCCCGGCUAACUCCGU